rnacentral:tRNA from 1 species
CCAUAGCCCAGCUGGAUAGAGCGUUUGGCUACGAACCAAAAGGUCGGGGGUUCGAAUCCCUCUGGG